rnacentral:rRNA from 1 species
UCCCUUAGAUGUCCGGGGCCGCACGCGCGCUACACUGAUGCAUUCAACGAGUUUCUUCCUGGUCCGAGAGGAAUGGGUAACCUUUUGAAAGUGCAUCGUGAUAGGGAUAGACUAUUGCAAUUAUUGGUCUUCAACGAGGAAUUCCUAGUAGACGUAGUUCAUCAGACUGCAUCGAUUACGUCCCUGCCCUUUGUACACACCGCCCGUCGCUCCUACCGAUUGAAUGCUCAGGUGAGCCAUUCGGACUUUCAUCAUGCUGGUUUCCAGUUUUGAUGAAGGAAAGUCUUGCGAACCUUAUCAUUUAGAGGAAGGAGAAGUCGUAACA